GACGAACGCUGGCGGCGUGCCUAAUACAUGCAAGUCGAGCGAAGCGGCGGAUGGGUGUGUAACGCGUGGGUAACCUGCCCUUAAGUCUGGGAUACCAUUUGGAUAUAGAUGCUAAUACCGGAUACUAAAGGCUGGACCUUCGAUGCAUUAGCUAGUUGGUAAGGUAACGGCUUACCAAGGCGAUGAUGCAUAGCCGAGGUGAGAGACUGAUCGGGCACAUUGAGACUGUGACACGGCCCAAACUCCUACGGGAGGCAGCAGUAGGGAAUCUUCCAAAAUGGACGAAAGGCUGAUGGAGGAACGCAGCGUGAGUGAAGAAGGUUUGCGGAUCGUAAAGCUCUGUUGUUGGUGAAGGGGUAAUCAACCAGAAAGUCACGGCUAACUACGUGCCAGCAGCCGCGGUAAUAC
rnacentral:rRNA from 1 species